GACAGAGGUCCCGAGCGUUAGGCGGAAUCACUGGGCUUAAAGCAUGUGUAGGCGGAUCGUUAAGUGCCUUGUGAAAUCCCAUGGCUUAACCAUGGAACUGCUUGGCAUACUGGCGAUCUUGAGCCACUUAGGGGCAACCGGAACAAAUGGUGGAGCGGUGAAAUGCGUAGAUAUCAGGAGGAACACCGGUGGCGAAGGCGGGUCUCUGGGCCGAUACUGACGCUGAGGAGCGAAAGCGUGGGGAGCGAACAGG
rnacentral:rRNA from 1 species